AUCAGGAUCAGAUUGCUCAGUUUAAUGACAUAGUAGUCAUUUGAAGUAGGUUGAGGUUAAGUUUAAUUUUAAUUUGCUCAGUUUAACGACAUGGUGGUCAAAAGGAGAUUGAGUUGCUCAGUUUAAUGACAUGGCGGUCGGUUGAAAUUUUGAUGCUCAGUUUAAUGACAUGGCGGUCGGUUUAAGUUUUAAUGCUCAAUUUAAUGACAUGGCGGUCGGUUUAAGUUUUGGUGUUCAGUUUAAUGACACGACGGUCGGAUGUUCAGUUUA
rnacentral:lncRNA from 1 species